rnacentral:rRNA from 1 species
GACGAACGCUGGCGGCGUGCUUAACACAUGCAAGUCGAACGGAAAGGCCCUGCUUUUGUGGGGUGCUCGAGUGGCGAACGGGUGAGUAACACGUGAGUAACCUGCCCUUGACUUUGGGAUAACUUCAGGAAACUGGGGCUAAUACCGGAUAGGAGCUCCUGCUGCAUGGUGGGGGUUGGAAAGUUUCGGCGGUUGGGGAUGGACUCGCGGCUUAUCAGCUUGUUGGUGGGGUAGUGGCUUACCAAGGCUUUGACGGGUAGCCGGCCUGAGAGGGUGACCGGCCACAUUGGGCUGAGGUUCCGGCCAGACUCCCGCGUGGGGCCGCCGGGGGGAAUUUUUCCCCAGGGGGCGGAACCCUUCUCCCGCACCCCCGCGUGGGGAAUCCCGCCUUUCGGUUUUAAACCCCUUUCCCCCUGUGACGAAGUGUGGGUGACGGUAAGGGAUAAAGAAGCCCCGCCUAACUCCGCC